GAUCCUAGGAAAGACCGAAUAGAAAAUAUCAUAAACACUGCGAGAGAACAACAGAAAACGUGACUUCCUAAUGAUUUAUGAACCCCGCGAUAAAGUUCGCUCGAAGAGAGCGAGGCGAGGACGCGCCUUGCGCCGAAUCUUAAUGCGCCUUGACUUUCGUUUCCUAGCGAUAUAAACCAGAGGGCACAGUGCUGGGUCAGUUGCUGCAACAAAACGAAAAUCAGGAGCCAACGACCUCCCAUAAAGGUUUUACUUGGUGUCUAAAUCAAGUGGGCUUCUUCUGCAAGUGUAUGGGGUGCUCUCCAGCCACGCUCAGCAGCUGAUGGAACAGAGAGAACUCAGAAACUGCACCUCCGGAGUAGAGCCAACACAGCAGAGUUUAGAGCCAAGACGAGGUGACGCCUUUGAAUUCAUUCAGUUUAUAAGGACAGCAUUUUUUAAAGGUGAAAAGUAAAAAAACCCAGCUUAUUAUUUAAAUAGUAAAAUACAAAGGUUUCAAACCUGCACUGAAAUAAGGAUGGUUUUAGUGUUUGUAUGAACAGCUGUUUAACAGUGUUUACAUGUUGCCACCCUGUUAAUCCAGCAGCAGGUAGAGAGCCUGAACUGGACUGAAGAAAAGAUCAAUGCGUCCACUUGUUCAUUUGUUUAGCAGAGUUGGAUUUCUUUAAUAGAUGGUAAAGGCCUGGACUCCUGCAGUUUGUUACAUUAAUUUAAAUGGACUGUAUCUAUUCAGCGACUCGCCCUACAGCUGUUCCUGUGCAACUGCACCACCUCAGACACCCAGUUAAGGCAAAACACUAGCCCUUUACAGUUAUUUCUUGUGAGCUCUUGGCUUGCAGCAUGAAUUUGUGUAUCCUCUUUUCUAACUCCAUAUAUUCCUCCACAGUGUUCACUGCACACUUUUUAUAAAUCAGAAGUGAGAAGAUGAGUAGAGAACAAACAUGGGAGAUGGUUGUAGUGUCAGAUCAGUGAUAGUUGCACUGCUUUUUGGAGACAUUACAGGUUGUGUGUUUAUCUUGCUAAAUCAGUGUAGAGACAGCGAGUUCAGUUCUAAACACAUACAGGGUUAAGGAAGCCAGCGCUUCUCCACACUACAGAGAACAAGACCAAAUGAGUCGACUCGCAUCAUAAGAGGAUUUUUUUCCUUCCCCUUCUUCUCAGUGUGUGAAGGAAUCCAAACUUUCAAGUUAUUGGUAGUUUGGACAGUUGUUCAGUCUGUCUUUAAAUUUGUAUAUUGAGGGAGAGGUGCAGGUACCUAGAGAAAUAAGGAGGAGUUGAGGCAAAUACAGGCUGGAACAUGGACCCUACUGAGCUGGAGCUGUGUGCCGUGGUCAUGCAGUUUCCAAAACCAGACAAGGAUCCCUCUGGCUUUGUGAAUCAGCUGACGUGGUAUGCCACUUUGAUCCUAAGAGAUGCUGUACAAUUGAUGUUGACAUGUUUAAGGGGUAGAUUUGGUGAGACAGAGCCAGCUGUGACUAUCACAGUUCAAGAUGAGAGUACACAGAGUAGGCCUGACUGGACAAAGACGUAUAAAACUCAGUUAAUGCAAUGUGUUAAGCUGGGAAUAGUGAAGGGGCAAGAAGCUGCACACCUCUCACUUCCGCUCAUCUGUAUUUGAGCUGUACAUUUUUAGACUAACAAACCUACUUUGUUGUUGUUGUUGUUGUCCUCGCUGAGCACACCUAGUUUCCGGACCACAAUUCUAAUGACUAGAUCUUUCUUUUCCUCCUCCUUUCUAAAUUGACUGUAGUGUUGCACAGCACCCUAGUCGAGGACAGUGGGCGGCAGACAUGCUUUGAUAUUUGAUAACUUAGAGAAAAAGUAUAUUGUACCUCCAUGGUUAAGUUGCAGUUUACCAAGCUGUUUCCUGUCCCACCAGAGAAGCUGCUGUGGGAUGCAGGGACCCAGAAGUUGUGUUGAGCUGUGAAGAAGCUGAAGACCACGCUGUUCCAGACCCUCAUCAAUGAUGACACCUCUGCACCACAUGUUGUUCUCGGAGACAUUGGCCUUAGGAAACUGAAUUUGGAGAGAACAACCUGGUGAUGCAAACAGGACCGUAACUGAUCCAUCAGAGACGAGGAUGCUGGCUAUGGAUGCCUGCGCCAACCCUGAGUUGAGACUGAGCUCUUAAAGGGACUCUAUCAGCAGUUGGAAGGUCGGUCAGCUUUACCUGAGUCCACCACCGCCUUGGAUGCGAUGACUGUGUAGCAGAUGAAUAUGCAGUGUGAACAUUCUCAAAACCUUACAGUGCGUAUUAUUUUAUUUUUGGGGGUUAAUGCCCACUUCUAUUGUUGAGAUGUCCAUGUAAUGCAUUCAGUUCUUUGUUUCUUGUCAUAUUGUUCAAUAUUUUUGCAUAGAUGUGUUGCCUUGAAUGGUUUUGUUGGUCAGGAGCUUUUAUUUUGAAGGCCAUUGCCCCGUUAUUUUGUUUCCUGUUUCUGCGCGGCCCUCCUCAGUUACUGUGGAAAGCUGAGGAGAGGUGGGUUAUAUACUCUGCUCCUGUAAUUUUAAGUGUUUUAUUUCCAUAAAAAGAAAAAGCACUUUACCGUUCAGACUGUUAUGGCACAGAGUUAUAAGCCACUGUUUUCUGUUGCAUAGUUGCUAACGAUGUGAAAAUUGUUCUUUCCUGUGUGACGUACACAACUUUAUUAAUGUGCUAACUAGGCAUAGUUGCAAUGUUUCAGCUAGGUUGAAGCACAUUGAAGGUCUCACGUGGAGUCUGUUGUUGCCUUUUUCUGCCCUUCAGAUGUGAAUAGAGAGACCUGACAGGUGGAUGUACUGACUUAGUUGUGUUUCACACAGGUAAUAAGAGUGUUUUAUUUGUAUUAUUAUUUUGAUUUCUUUAGCACACGCUCAGUUACUGUGGAAAGCUGAGAGACCUGACAGGUGGAUAUACUGAUUUAGUUGUGUUUCACACAGAGAAUAAACUCUCCUGUGGAUGGCAAACCCCUGUCUACGAUUCGUCACUAAAGACACAACGCAGAGAUUUAACUUGAUGGCCGCGUAGAGAUGAGACCGGCUACAACUGCAGCAACUGAACUGUAACCGAUCCCCUGGAGUUGGACUUUUUUUUUUAAGUUGUCAGUGUUUCUUGACUCUUUGAAGACUUGGUUUGGAUUUUGGAACUUUGCCACAGAGUUGCACAAGGCUGGGUCAUUUUCCCAUCAUUAAAUGGUGGAAGUACCAGGGCAGGCUCAGUGGUUACAUUAGUGAGAGAUUCUCCAUACCCAUAGUUGUGCUUUGACAUGUUAUAAGCUCGUCUUGAUAAGUGUAGUUGUUUUCAAAAUCAUCACCACCCAAAUUUUGAUUACUUUAUUUAAAUUUAGGGAUAGCUUUCUGAGUUGUCUCGCUGUGCCAAGUUUUUUUCCUUCAUGAUCUGUUGGUAGGCAAAUCAAAC